ACACGACUACAUUAGAUACCCGGGUAGUCCCAGCCGUAAACUAUGCGCGUUAGGUGUAUCGGUGACCACGAGUUACCGAGGUGCCGAAGGGAAACCGUGAAACGUGCCGCCCGGGAAGUACGGUCGCAAGGCUGAAACUUAAAGGAAUUGGCGGGGAGCACCACAACAGGUGGAGCCUGCGGUUUAAUUGGACUCAACGCCGGGAAGCUCACCGGAUAGGACAGCAGAAUGAUUGCCGGGCUGAAGACCCUGCAUGACUAGCUG
rnacentral:rRNA from 1 species